AUUCAGCUAUUUCAACUCAUUAUGAUAACUACUUUUUUACAUGAUGUUUCUGCAUAUGAUAAUCCCACAAAGUGAAUCUUUUUGGCCUUAUUCAUCUAGGACACCUGGGUCUGACCCCUGCAAACCUUGUAGGCUGGAGAGACUUAUUGAGUGUCUGCAAAGACAUCAACCUAAAGAAUCUCACAUUGUAGUAAUACCAGUUAGAGCCAAAAUUUUAUUUGGGCAUUCAGAUUGUACAUGGAUGUUACUAAUAUAAAAUGCCUGUUCAUAUGUGUAGGUCCUCUUGUGCAACCACUUGGACACUUAAUGCUGGAUACCACACAGAAUCUGCUGCUUUUAUGGCUGGAAAUGUGAAACACAUUAUGGCCAGGCAUGUACUAAUAGAGAGCAGAGUGAGGACUUAAGAGAAAGGAAUGAGUAAGAAAUGAGUUAUGAUAAAGUGUUCACUGACACGAAGUAUACCAAAAUUAAAUAAGCACAGUAUAUAAUCAAAGAUGAUCAUUUCUAUCUCUGUUUUCAUAGCUUAGUUUUGGAAAUUGUAAAAUGCAAUUAGGUGAUAAUUGCCACUGAACAUGAGCCAGCCCUGUGCCUGUGUGGCCAAGAAGGCCAAUGGCAUCCUGGCUUGUAUCAGACACUGUGUGGCCAGCAGGCAUUGAUCAGCGCUCUGUACUUGGUACUGGUGAGGCCAUACCUUGAAUAAUGGGAUCAUUUUUGCGCCCCUCACUACAAGAAGGACAUUGAGGUACUGGAGCAAGUCCAGCAAAGAGCAACAAAGCUGGUGAAGGGCCUGGAGCAGCUGAGGGAGCUGGAGAUGUUCAUCCUGGAAAAAAGGAGGCUCAGAGGAGACAUUAUUGCUCUCUACAAAUAAAUGAAAGGAGGUUGUAGUGUGGUGGGAAUCAGUCUCCUCUCUCAGAUAACAAGUCACAGGAAAAGAUGAAAUGGCUUCUAGUGGCAGCAGGGGAGGUUCAGUUUAGAUAUUAAGAAAAUCUUCACAUGAGUUGUCAAGCACUGGAAGAGGCUGCCCAGGAUAGUGGUGCGAUGACUAUCCUGGGAGAUACUGAAAAGACAUGUAAAUCUGGCACUGAGGGACAUGAUUUUAUAGAGAACUUGACAGUACUAGUUUUAUGGUGGGACUCCAUGAUCUUUAAGUUUUUUUCCAACCAAAAUGAUUAUAAGAUUUUAUAAGAAUAUUAGAGUGCCCUGUAAAAUCUUGGAACUAGACUCCUAUAGUGGCAUCCUGGAGGAAGUCAGGAGGAUUUUUAAAGCAAAUAAUUUCCCCCCAUGCUUUUUGUCUGGGAUAUUAGAUUUCCUACAUCGCCUUUUAUGAAACUACAGCACAAAAAUACCCUUAGCCGUUAUCAGCUCUGCAAGGGUUGAACAGGAGAUACAAGGCCCAGAUUCACUUCCACAGGCAGGCCAUGAGGCUUGACUGUUGCAAGAGAGGUAGAGCUCUCUUAUGUGAUGCACCUCAAGGGUCUGCCUUAGAUGUAAACAAAUAAAAAAUAUAUGUUUGUUUAUGUUUUUUUAAUUUAUAAAAAUGUAUUUAUUGUUGUCACUUCCAAGACAAUAUGACUACCUAGUGCUAGCAAUAAGUCAAAUAAUUUUGCAGAUCACAGAGAGAAUGUUUUCUGCUCUAAUAUACAAUCUGUCUGCUCUAAUCUGGUCUAAUAUUCAGUCUAAAUCUCAGGGAUUUUAAAAGGAUUUUUCAUCAUAUUUUGUAAGUGUAUUCCAGGUUAAGAAGACCCUAAAACUAGUCAGGCGGGAAAAAAAUAGCUGGCAGUCAGCAACUGUAUGGAUAUAUGUUAAUUAUUUUAUUUCUGAAAAGGAGAUUUUAUUUCUGUUGUAUUUCUUGAAAUACAACACGUUUAAUAAGAUCAGAAGUGAGACCAUUACUUCAUUUUCUGUAGGUAGUGGUGAUCUAAGGAAAUGAACUGGAGGAGAAAGAGAGGAGAAAAAUACAAAAGGUGUAAUACAGAAGUAGAGGUUGAGGAAAAAGAAAUCAAAGGUGUUAUUUAAUGGGCUACAGAUGUGUUGCCAUGGGUGAACACCUGGGCUAAGGACUGUCUGGAGUUUAGGACUGGAACAGUUGUGGUUACAUACACAGGAUUUCCCAGUAAAGGUUGCUUCCACUGCUGUGGAUUCUAUUGGUUUUUUGUGAAGUCUCUCCUCACUUUAAUAAAAAAGUCUUACAAACUUUUUGUUCUUUGCAGACUCCUUGGAAACUUUGUCUUCAUCAGGCUUUUUCUGUGCCAUAGUGUGUUCCUUUCAAUGAAAUAUUCUGUAAAGUGUAAAUAGAGAGACCAAAAAAUGACCACAAAAUCCUCAAUUCUUACAGGCUUGGUGAUAAGUGGAAAAAGUUGCUUGAAUUGCUGACUGCAGUUCUGAGAAACAGAUUAUUAAAUACAGAGGAAUUACUUAAUUGAAUGACAUCCAGUUUCUUUCCUCUUAAGUAUUUUAGUUUCCUUAUUAGCUAUAGCAUUCUCAACUGCUUGGUUGACAGAUUUUGCUAAUUACUCAGAUAUGCUAAAACAUGCAGUUCCAAGGGAAUUGCUCACUAUUUCCUAGAUAAAAAUAAAAGAAAGACUCUGUCCACAUUUGGACUGGAAAAUACCUUGCAUUAGUUUCUUUGCUUCUCUUCCGAGAAUUGCAUGGAGUGUAACUAAAUGCAUCACACAUUUUACUGAGGAAAAGUAAGUAUUUAUGAAAUCGUGCAUAUGCAUACAUGCAGAUGCACAGUGGAACCAUGCAAAUACUUCUUCUAUGAGAAAGGAAGAAAUCUUCUUCAAUAGCCUCUUUAAAAGAAAAUUAAUAACACUCCUUAGUUCAAUAAGCAGUUAUUUUGAUAACUAAGAUUUGAUUAUUCUACUUACCUUUCUUUGUCUAUAAAAAUGUAGGAGUAUUAAUAUUGUCAUUGUUAUCUCCCACUGCUGUAAAAGCACCAGAGGAAUUCAGGAAGGAACUAAUUUGGAUUGAGAGGAUUUGGAGCUGGCAGAAUUUUUAUUGUCUGUCUCCAUAUAGGUCUUUUCUGUGGGCCGUACUUUGUUUAUUUUAUUUUUCAGUACUCCUUUUUCAUGAUAAUUAUCACCUAAAAGUCUAGGAAAAAUCCUUGUCUAAUAAAUCAUUCAAAUAUUAAAAAUAUUCUCAAUUAAAUGCAAAAUAAAAUAAUGAAAAGAGUGGAUUUGUUUCUCAUUUGACCUAAUUUUGCUACUUUCAUUUCAAUAGCAGAAGUCCUCAAAAUAACUGUAAAUUCUGUUAAAAUAAAUGUUCUUAUAUAUGCUAAAAUAAUUUUAAUUUAAUGUCUAAAUUUAUACUUUGCAUUUUGUAAUUCCAUGGAUAAGAAUACUUCCCUGGCAGUGCAAUACAAAACAAUGAGUUUUGAAGGCUCAUGUCUUCUUUUUUUUGUCUCUGUGCAGUUUCUGAUUUGCAGUUUUUUUGUGGUAGAUUAAGGGUCUAUCUGUAUUGGCUUUUGUAACAACACUCUGAAGUUCCUAUUCUCCAACAGCAAUCAAUAAUUAAAAUUCAUACUGGAAAAAUGAUGAUUUGUGAAACUUAGGCUAAGUACAUAAUCAGAAAUUACUUUUUUAAUUAAUACGUUGAGUUUCUUUUAUUAUUAUGGUUGGCUUGUGAAUUUAUCUUUUGGCAUACUUGAUGGUACAAACUGCUGGUAUUUUGAAGUCUGAGGAGUAUUAAGAGCUAGCAUAAUACUCCCAAAUACACCAAAUUUCACAAAGAGUUGUGCUUCAGCUGGAUAGCAUUAAGCUGUUCCCUGGGAUUUCUCGCUGCUUUUUCAUUCAUUGUAUAUGACAUAUGAGCUGUAAUCACGAACAGUUUGUUCCUUCCAAUAACAUUUUUUCAGCAUUUGCAACAAAACCAUGCAAUCUUUUCUUCAAGAGGCAAUCUACAGCAGGGCUACUGCAAAGUGUUUAACAUCAGUGCCUAAAAGUCCAUUAUGGCAUUCAUAUUUUACACUCUAAAAAAAUUAAUGAUUGUUUUUUAACAGUUUUCUGUUAGCAAAACUCCAGCUUUGGCAGAACCAACACUGAAAUGUUAUGGAUUUUCUUUCAGCUAAAGACUCCAUAAACCAGCAAAACUGAGUGA